rnacentral:rRNA from 1 species
UACGGAGGAUGCAAGCGUUAUCCGGAAUGAUUGGGCGUAAAGCGUCCGCAGGUGGCUGUGUAAGUCUGCUUUUAAAUAGUCUAGCUCAACUAGAUAAAGGCAGUGGAAACCACACGGCUAGAGUGCGUUCGGGGCAGAGGGAAUUCCUGGUGUAGCGGUGGAAUGCGCAGAUAUCAGGAGGAACACCAAUAGCGAAGGCAGCUCGCUGGGACGGUACUGACGCUAAGGCGCGAAAGCGUGGGGAGCGAACAGG